GUGCUUACGAGCAAAUACUCAUAGAACAGUAGUAGUAGUAAGGGAGUGAAAGGGUGAAGCGAGUAUAGAUAAGACAGGGAUGAACGUCAUGUACAUAUAACAGAUAAGUUCCGGGAAAGAGAAUGAACAGACUGAUUUAGGAGAGACAGCUCAGGUGGGGGCUAUCUGCUCCAGGAACUAGACAUAUAUGGUCCUAAGAGUCGUUUUAAGCAUUUUUCAGAGUCCAAG